rnacentral:rRNA from 1 species
GACGAACGCUGGCGGCGUGCUUAACACAUGCAAGUCGAACGGAAAGGCCCUGCUUGUGUGGGGUGCUCGGGUGGCGAACGGGUGAGUAACACGUGAGUAACCUGCCCUUGACUUUGGUGUAACUUCAGGAAACUGGGGCUAAUACUGGAUAGGAGCUCCUGCUGCAUGGUGGGGGUUGGAAAGUUUGGGCGGUUGGGGAUGGACUCGCGGCGUAUCAGCUUGUUGGUGGGGUAGUGGCUUACCAAGGCUUUGACGGGUAGCCGGCCUGAGAGGGUGACCGGCCACAUUGGGACUGAGAUGCGGCCCGGAAUCCUACGGGAGUAAGCAGUGGGGAAUAUUGCACAAUGGGCGGAAGCCUGAGGCAGCAACGCCGCGUGCGGGAUGACGGCCCUCGGGUUGUAAGCCGCUUUCGCCUGUGACGAAGCGUGAGUGACGGUAAUGGGUAAAGAAGCACCGGCUAACUACGUG